ensembl:snRNA U6 U6 spliceosomal RNA
GUGCUCGCUUCGGCAGCAUGUAUACUAAAAUUGGAACGACACAGAGAAGAUUAACAUGGCCCCUGCUACUUGAAGCAAGGAUGACACGCAAAUUCGUGAAGCGUUCCAUAUUUUU